UGAAAGUCCUCUUUUGUGAGUGUCUUUAGUUACACUGUUGUGGCUGCCUCAGUGCCCUGAAUCAAUUAAAACCAUUUACCUUUCAAAUUUGGGGAAGAGCCAGAAGUUGCACAAUGCCAGAUCUGGUGAAUAAGGUGGACGAGGACGCGCCAUGUUUUUACGAGCCUGUCUUUCCAUUGGAUGGCACUCAGCAGUGGCAUUCACUGUAUAUUUCGAUCACAUUUGUAUGUUACACUCUUCUGAGGCUACUUACUAUUUGUUAACGAGAUAAUACCUAUCUUGUAAUUUUUAUGUGGAUGCAAAUUGCUAUAUACCCAGUUCCUGGCAUAUGAUAAGUAAUCAUUAAAUGAGAGCCAGUUAUUAUUGAUGGUGUUAUUGAUGUCAGUGCCCAGAAUUUUAGAAGCAUUGUGACAGUUUACUCAAAUGUCUCAGUCAGGAGGUGAUUACAUGAAGAUCAGCUUUCAGCUCAGUCUGGCCCUUUACCAAAAACCUUUCAGUUCAUGAGGCGUAGCCCUCUUUAUUAUAAGAGGGUCAAAACCAUACCCACCUUUGGUAUUUCACUGUACGUUUAAAUGAACAGCCUACAGAAAUUUAUUAACCUGAUUUUUUCCCCAUUUCUUAAUAGGAAAAUUUCUGGCAAUGCCAUGCUACAGUUGGGCCCCUUCUUAUAUUGGACAUUUCUGGCUGCCUUUGAAGGGACAGUGUUCUUCUUUGGGACUUACUUUCUUUUUCAUACUGCAUCUCUAGAAGAAAAUGGAAAGGUCUAUGGAAACUGGACUUUUGGAACCAUUGUUUUCACGGUCCUAGUAUUCACUGUAACUCUGAAGCUCGCCUUGGAUACUCGGUUCUGGACAUGGAUAAAUCACUUUGUGAUUUGGGGUUCUUUAGCCUUUUAUAUAUUUUUCUCAUUCUUCUGGGGAGGAAUUAUUUGGCCUUUUCUUAAACAACAGAGAAUGUAUUUCGUAUUUGCUCAAAUGCUGUCUUCUGUAUCCACAUGGUUGGCCAUAAUUCUUCUAAUAUUUGUUAGCCUUUUCCCUGAGAUUCUCCUGAUAGUAUUAAAGAAUGUAAGAAGAAGAAGUGCCAGGAGAAAUCUGAACUGUAGAAGGGCAUCUGACUCAUUAUCCACCAGACCUUCAGUCAGACCUCUUCUUUUACGAACAUUCUCAGAUGAAUCUAAUGUAUUGUAACAGAAUCCGAAUCUUGAACUGCCUAUGUUAUUGUCCUACAAGCAUAUUGACAGUGGUUACAGCUAAAACAGAAACCAUGAAGAAACAACUACAAAAAUUUAUCACCUCAGGAUUCUUGAUAUGCAACAAAAACUAGAUCACUCUCUUAUGUCUAGGGUUCACAAUAAAUGCCGAUUGAAAUACUAAGUGGUUAUCCUAAGCAUUUCCAGUUAUUGUAAGUAGCCAUUAGAGCCAAAGCUGUAAGUUAAGAAUUAUAUGAAAGUUGAAAGCAAGAGUACUUAGAUUUCUGGCUUUAGAUAGCAUAAUGUAACUACCAGAUGGGUCCUUUUUUAACCCAUUGACUUUGUGAAUGGAUUUAAAUACAGUAUAAAGUAGAAGUCAUGCAGUGGGAAUGAACAGAUUUUGCUAAUACAGUAUUACUUUUUUUUGCUUGUCAAAAGACAUAGGCUGGAAUACAUUUCUCGUUCCUGCUGAAUGUUCAUCUUAAAUUAUUUUUUAAGCACACAAAUGGAAUACUUGAAAAUACAGGACUAAAAAUAGUAUCAGUGCAUCAGACAGAAUGGUUCAUCCUUUCUGUUCACCCACAUACUGAUUAUGCCUUGGUAAACUAUCCUUGCCAAAAAGUACCUUGAACACUUCUCUGGAAAGUGUUAACUCUGGGUGUGACUGUGGAACAAAAAGAUGUUUGUUUUUGUUCUUCUGAAUUAAACACUUAUAGGUGUAAGGCUACUAGACUUGAAAGUAAAAUAUAAAACAUUUCACUCACUUAGUAGACCCUCAAAGUAGGAAAUAAACAGAUUUUCCCAAUGUCAGUUUUACUGCGCUCUGAGGUAGGUGCAUAACAACUGUAUUUGUCCCAAAAUAAAGCCAUUCUGAACAUCAGCCUUUUAUAAUUUUACGUGGAGAGAAGGCAAAGAAUAUCUAAUUUUAAACUGUUAACGGUUUUUAUUUGAAAGAGUUUGCAUUUGUGCAUAUAGCAAGCACUUUGUUUUAUCCUGCUUAUUUGGGAUGAAGAAAGAUCCAUCCCAACACGGUUUAGCCUGUAGAACCAUGACUCUGCAAACAUACAUGCUGUCUCUCAUAGCUAAUGUGACCAGGCCAGCGGUCUAAUUCUAAACCAUGAGAGUGACCUCGGUCAGGUCCUUAACUUAGUGGACUAGAAAGAGGUUUUCACUUCUUAAUGAGUUCACUUAAAAUAGAAAACUAAAUGUGAAAUGUGUUUAUUCAGUGUUAAAAUUACACACCUUUUAAAAAUAGAAAUGACCACAUUUGACUGCUAGAUUAAAGUGGUCUUCAACAAAUAUUUUCAUUAUCAGUUUCUAUUUUUGUCUUUUUGGCAUGCCUGUACUAUUAUUAAUGUUUAUAUUGUACAUUGAUUUGGAAAAGUGUUAGAUUCAAUCUGUACCAAUAUAUUUAUAUAGUCCACAUGGCACAUUUGAUUCUUCCAUGUGUAUAUAUUUUGUGUUAAUACUUAGAUGUAAUUUUUCUUAAAUCUAGAAAGGACAUUAUUUCAGUUAUCAGAAACUAUUCCAUCAUUACUGAUCCCUUUUGUUAUUUAAUUUGUUCUCACCUAUCAGUAUUAUUUUUACAUAUUUUGUUAGAUGUCAUUCACAGCUUACCUAAGUGUGCUGUGUUCUAGUAGCCUAUAUUUGAGGUGAUCUGCUGAAGACAAAGUCUUUAUAUUUUUUGCCUAUUCCAAAGAGCUAAAAAAUACGUAAUCCAGGAAAGUUGUUGAUGUUUUAUUGUUGUUGUUGUUCUUGUUUUUGUAGUUAUUGUUGCCACAUUGUUGUUUUAUAUAAGAACUCCAGGGACUGUGAAUACAAACAAAAGAGUGAAGGUAGAGAGGCUUAUUUAAUGCAGAACCACUAGAGUUGUCAUAAUCAGAAUAUCCAGAAUAGUAAAAAUAAAACUAGUUGCAUGUAAAAUGUUUUACAGCCAGAAAGAAACUUAGAUGAGUAAAGGGGAUUUAGAGUCACGUCUCAGCUACACAUUACACUGUGCACUGCAGCUAAAAUUCUGAGUACCAGUGAUGUGUGCAAUGUGUAAGAUCACUGCCCAGAUCCUUGCUAGGGACCUGGAUUUUCAUUUUCAAAGAUAUUUUUAUUAAUGAGCUAAAAUAAAAUUGGCUAGCUUGGGGUUACAAGUGAAACAACUUAAAAUAACCCAUUCCAGUAUUCCUAGCACUGCAACAGAACCAUCCUAUUUUGUGACAGAGGAGAGAAAAUGUAAUAAUAGGACCAGAUACUUAUAAUUUGAAUAAGUUUGAGCUAUCAAAAUGUCCUUAUAAUUUUCACAUCUGUCGUCCAUUGUUUGAGGAUGUUAACUAUUAAACUGAAAAUAUUCAUUCCGUAUCUACCGCAUAUACACCAGCAACGGUAUAGAUGUAAGCUUAAAUUUGCAAAAUUCAUAAUUUAGUCAUGGAAUUUUAAAAUAACAUGCAGUAUAUAAAUGUGCAGAUUUUAUGCAAAUGUUGACAAAAUCAUUUUUCCGCUUGCAAAAUGGAACUUCAAUAUUACAUUUUUCACUUCAGCAAUUUUUUACAUCUCUGUUACUGCUUUUAAAAUGAAUGUGAAUGCCAUCUUUAAUGAAUGCAACUUUCCUUUUUCAUUAAAAAAUGUUUUGUUUGAUGUAAUCAAUAAACUUUGGUAUGAUAUGAUUGAUAUUUUAGCGUCUUUUUGGGAAAGGUCUCAGUUUGACAUCAAAAUAG
rnacentral:lncRNA from 1 species